GCUGCGAUGUCGGAGUGGUUAACGAGUCGUUCGUCUCUGCCUCAGCUCUAACCCCGCGCUACACGACUAACGCGUCGCAGAGACUUGAAUCCGUUCACGCCAUCUGAUGCCUUCGGGCGCGCAGGUUCGAAUCCUGUUCGCAGCG